UGAAAACCCCUCUGAGUCGUCUAUAGCCGCCAAAUCCCUUUUGAUUCUGUUGUCAGAGGUGCCUUUCAAUUUCAUUGACCUUGGUACUGCAUUUCAUAGAUACCUUCGCUAUUACAGUAACGCAAUUCUCCACUGAACCCAUUGACCUAGGUACCGAGUCUGUUAUGCGUACGUCUUUUCGGACUCUUUAUUUGUUUGUGGACAACAAAAAUGCAAACAUGAGAAAAGGGGACCAUUCCAUUUUGAACACACCCAUCUAUCUCAUCUGACCUCUCCGAAUUCCCGAGUAACGAACCAUGGGCUAUAGAUGGUUGGGACAUAUCAUCAUCCGGAGGGAGUGGUCUUAAUACCGAUGUCUUUCUUUAACCUUUGGGAGGUCGAACCACUGAACCUAUUUCUUUGACCUUGGGACCGAUAGGAAGAAGAA
rnacentral:lncRNA from 1 species